rnacentral:rRNA from 1 species
GAUGAACGCUAGCUACAGGCUUAACACAUGCAAGUCGAGGGGCAGCGCAGUGUAGCAAUACAUGGGCGGCGACCGGCGCACGGGUGCGUAACGCGUAUCCAACCUUCCCGUUACUCAGGGAUAGCCUUCCGAAAGGGAGAUUAAUACCUGAUGGUGUUGAAAUUCCGCAUGUUAUUUCAACUAAAGAUUAAUCGGUAACGGAUGGGGAUGCGUGACAUUAGAUAGUAGGCGGGGUAACGGCCCACCUAGUCUACGAUGUCUAGGGGUUCUGAGAGGAAGGUCCCCCACACUGGAACUGAGACACGGUCCAGACUCCUACGGGAGGCAGCAGUGAGGAAUAUUGGUCAAUGGUCGGAAGACUGAACCAGCCAAGUAGCGUGAAGGAUGAAGGUUCUAUGGAUUGUAAACUUCUUUUAUACGGGAAUAAAACCUCCCACGUGUGGGAGCUUGUAUGUACCGUAUGAAUAAGCAUCGGCUAACUCCGUGCCAGCCCCGCCGUAAAAC